AUGUCAGAGUCAACCUUUUUUAACCUAGAUGGAGUAUUUACAACUAUAUGCAGAGUAAAUCCACUCUAAGAGUGGAGUUAAAAGUCAGUGUUAAAUUCUGCAGACAUGCAGUGAAAAAUGUAACUCUACAGAGUGUUGAUUAGGCGCCAGUCUACGUGACGUCUUGAACGCCCUGCUGGAGUCAGUCUGGAGAGGCGAGGCGGUCAGGAUAUGCUGCUGCGUGUAUUGUUUGAUGGGGAGCAGAAGUAUGUUAGGCUGUCUGACCUAACAUUCGACACUUUCAUGAAAGAAGUGUGCCUAAAAUUUAACAUACCAGAAGGCAGGCAGCCAGACUUGAAGGUGUUUGACCAAUCUGACACAGAAUUUGAUGGAGAAGUCUUUGAAGAAAUAGUGAAGGAGUCACCUGGGACCUUCAAAGUCAUGUUGAGCAAAGAAGAACUAGAUGCCUCUCUAUCAUCAACAUCAUCAUCAUGCUCAGCAGCAUCUGACGAUACUAUCAUUCUGAACUUCACAAUGUGUGACCCUCCUGACGAAGCAGCUGCUGUCGAAGGAAGUCAGUCUAAAAAGCCAUGUCACAUUAACUUUGAGGUGAAAGCCGUUAGUAGUGGACAUUGUCUAAUCUGGAUUUUGU